rnacentral:lncRNA from 1 species
GGAAGUCUCAGAAGGCGAAAUGGAACAGAUGGCUCCAGACGUCUUCUGGACGAGGUUAAUUUUGUAUGCAACCCAUGCUUCUGAUGAAAAACGGAUGCGUUGAGAACCAAAUUGGUGCCUCGAGAUGUGAAUGUCAGCUUCCUAAGUUACCUUUUCAGUGUUGCCCACAGCAGAGAUGGUGGAACUUUUAUACACCAGUGCCCACUCCGCAACCCAAACCCACUUAUCAUUGCAAAGUGCCAACACUGCAGUCAAAACUGAGUACUGAAGUUUUAAUUUAGAAAAAAGCAACCCAUACAGUCACAUCUUUGUCUUAAAAGGAGAACAGUAACUCGCAUGCCAUGGGUUUGCCACCGCUGCCUGAUAGCCUGCUUCCUUACCAUAGUACUUCCUGC